UGGAACUACAGGACAACAAGGUGUCAGCAUCAUUACAUGGACAGGUCUGGAGCUACAGGACAACAAGGUGUCAGCAUCAUUACAUGGACAGGUCUGGAACUACAGGACAACAAGGUGUCAGCAUCAUUACAUGGACAGGUCUGGAACUACAGGACAACAAGGUAUCAGCAUCAUUACAUGGACAGGUCUGGAACUACAGGACAACAAGGUGUCAGCAUCAUUACAUGGACAGGUCUGGAACUACAGGACAACAAGGUGUCAGCAUCAUUACAUGGACAGGUCUGGAACUACAGGACAACAAGGUAUCAGCAUCAUUACAUGGACAGGUCUGGAACUACAGGACAACAAGGUGUCAGCAUCAUUACAUGGACAGGUCUGGAACUACAGGACAACAAGGUGUCAGCAUCAUUACAUGGACAGGUCUGGAACUACAGGACACCAAGGUGUCAGCAUCAUUACAUGGACAGGUCUGGAACUACAGGACAGGACAACAAGGUGUUAGCAUCAUUACAUGGACAGGUCUGGAACUACAGGACAACAAGGUAUCAGCAUCAUUACAUGGACAGGUCUGGAACUACAGGACAACAAGGUGUCAGCAUCAUUACAUGGACAGGUCUGGAACUACAGGACAGGACAACA